CAGUAGCCGGCGGUAAUACAGAGGGUGCGAGCGUUAAUCGGAUUUACUGGGCGUAAAGCGUGCGUAGGCGGCUUCUUAAGUCGGAUGUGAAAUCCCUGAGCUUAACUUAGGAAUUGCAUUCGAUACUGGGAAGCUAGAGUAUGGGAGAGGAUGGUAGAAUUCCAGGUGUAGCGGUGAAAUGCGUAGAGAUCUGGAGGAAUACCGAUGGCGAAGGCAGCCAUCUGGCCUAAUACUGACGCUGAGGUACGAAAGCAUGGGGAGCAAACAGGAUUAGAUACCCGUGUAGUCCCUGUCUCUUAUA
rnacentral:rRNA from 1 species